rnacentral:rRNA from 1 species
UACAUGCAAGUAGAACGCUGAAGGAGGAGCUUGCUUCUCUGGAUGAGUUGCGAACGGGUGAGUAACGCGUAGGUAACCUGCCUGGUAGCGGGGGAUAACUAUUGGAAACGAUAGCUAAUACCGCAUAAUAGUAGAUGUUGCAUGACAUUUGCUUAAAAGGUGCAAUUGCAUCACUACCAGAUGGACCUGCGUUGUAUUAGCUAGUUGGUGGGGUAACGGCUCACCAAGGCGACGAUACAUAGCCGACCUGAGAGGGUGAUCGGCCACACUGGGAUUGAGACACGGCCCAGACUCCGACGGGAGGCAGCAGUAGGGAAUCCUCGGCAAUGGACGGAAGUCUGACCGAGCAACGCCGCGUGAGUGAAGAAGGUUUUCGGAUCGUAAAGCUCUGUUGUAAGAGAAGAACGAGUGUGAGAGUGGAAAGUUCACACUGUGACGGUAUCUUACCAGAAAGGGACGGCUAACUACGUGCCAGCAGCCGCGGUAAUACGUAGGUCCCGAGCGUUGUCCGGAUUUAUUGGGCGUAAAGCGAGCGCAGGCGGUUAGAUAAGUCUGAAGUUAAAGGCUGUGGCUUAACCAUAGUACGCUUUGGAAACUGUUUAACUUGAGUGCAAGAGGGGAGAGUGGAAUUCCAUGUGUAGCGGUGAAAUGCGUAGAUAUAUGGAGGAACACCGGUGGCGAAAGCGGCUCUCUGGCUUGUAACUGACGCUGAGGCUCGAAAGCGUGGGGAGCAAACAGGAUUAGAUACCCUGGUAGUCCACGCCGUAAACGAUGAGUGCUAGGUGUUAGACCCUUUCCGGGGUUUAGUGCCGCAGCUAACGCAUUAAGCACUCCGCCUGGGGAGUACGACCGCAAGGUUGAAACUCAAAGGAAUUGACGGGGGCCCGCAC